rnacentral:lncRNA from 10 species
UGCCGAUGGUGAUGACCUGCCCGUCUGGCAGCUCGUAGCUCUUUUCCAGGGAGGAGGAGGAGGCGGCCGUCGCCAUCUCGUUCUCGAAGUCCAGGGCCACGCGCAUGAUGGCGUGCGGCAGCGCGUAGCCCUCAUAAAUGGGCACGUUGUGGGUCUCAAACAUGAUCUGGGUCAUCUUCUCGCGGUUGGCCUUGGGAUUGAGGGGGGCCUCGGUGAGCAGGGUGUGGUGCCAGAUCUUCUCCAUGUCAUCCCAGUUGGUGAUGAUGCCGUGCUCGAUAGGGUACUUCAGGGUCAGGAUACCUCUCUUGCUCUGAGCCUCGUCGCCCACGUAGGAAUCUUUCUGACCCAUACCGACCAUGACGGCGGUGGUCUCGUCUUCGUCGCACAUUGUGUCUAGUUUCUGCAAGGACAGGGAGACCGCGAAGAGGCGCGGUGCAUCAGCGCAGAAGUCUCAGCGGCAGGGGGGGGUAAGCCUGGCUGGCCCCGACGUCCUCCCUCCCCAGGAACCUAGGGACAUCUCCUGCCGGAGCCACUCAAAUUCUGCCAGGGCGGCGACCAGGGGUUCUCUUCUCGACCUUUGCCCCGGCUAAGGGCUGCCCUGAACCAGGAAAAGGGGCACAGGGUCGCGAGACCCCACUGAGAAGUCCUCUGUCCACAUAGCCAGGGGAACAUGUUCCCCAAGACCUGUCUGCCCUCCCUGCCUGACACCUGUUCCAGGAGCUGGACGCUAGUGCCCAUCCUCUCUGCGCCUCCCUGACCACAUCUGUCACCUAGGGAGAUAAGGCCUCAGCACUGCCUGCUUGCUGGGCCAGCGUGAGGGUGGAAGGAGAUGCCCAUGGGAAAGGCGUUGGCACCCCAUCCAGGGAAGAGUGGCCUGUUAGGAACCCUGUGACAUUUCAAACUCAGAAAGGGCCUUUUCGCCUGUUGGAAACCCAGAAUGGGUGGUCCUGGCUGCUCGCUCAUUCGCUCUAGCGCUAGUUUGGAAGGGAACUGCCUUGGCGACAACUAAAGCAAAACCGUUUAUCUCCCUAGGCACAUCCUACAUGCCAGGUAAAGGAGCCCAAAGGGGCUAGAGAAAAAUUUGGAGAAGUCUAAUUUCCAGAGGCUGACUGUCUUGCCUCCUUUUUAAAGCGCGUGUGGCUCCGGAGACGAGGCACAGCGCUCAGGGCGCAGGCCUGGGGCUGACCAGGUGAACCGACUGGGUUCUGCCCCGGAGUCCUUCAGGUUCCCCUCGGUAGUGCCCUGUCCCCCUGUC